rnacentral:rRNA from 1 species
UAGGGAAUCUUCCACAAUGGACGCAAGUCUGAUGGAGCAACGCCGCGUGAGUGAAGAAGGUUUUCGGAUCGUAAAGCUCUGUUGUUGGUGAAGAAGGAUAGAGGUAGUAACUGGCCUUUAUUUGACGGUAAUCAACCAGAAAGUCACGGCUAACUACGUGCCAGCAGCCGCGGUAAUACGUAGGUGGCAAGCGUUGUCCGGAUUUAUUGGGCGUAAAGCGAGCGCAGGCGGAAGAAUAAGUCUGAUGUGAAAGCCCUCGGCUUAACCGAGGAAUUGCAUCGGAAACUGUUUUCUUGAGUGCAGAAGAGGAGAGUGGAACUCCAUGUGUAGCGGUGGAAUGCGUAGAUAUAUGGAAGAACACCAGUGGCGAAGGCGGCUCUCUGGUCUGCAACUGACGCUGAGGCUCGAAAGCAUGGGUAGCGAACAGGAUUAGAUACCCUGGUAGUCCAUGCCGUAAACGAUGAGUGCUAAGUGUUGGGGAGGUUUUCCGCCUCUCAGUGCUGCAGCUAACGCAUUAAGCACUCCGCCUGGGGGAGUACGACCGCAAGGUUGAAAC